GACGAACGCUGGCGGCGUGCCUAACACAUGCAAGUCGAACGGAAAGGCCCUGCUUUUGUGGGGUGUUCGAGUGGCGAACGGGUGAGUUACACGUGAGUAACCUGCCCUUGACUUUGGGAUAUCCUCAGGCAACUGGGGCUAAUACCGGAUAGGAGCUCCUGCUGCAUGGUGGGGGUUGGAAAGUUUCGGCGGUUGGGGCUGGACUCGCAGCUUAUCAGCUUGUUGGUGGGGUAGUGGCUUACCAUGGCUUUGACGGGUAGCCGGCCUGGGAGGGUAGCCGGCCACAAUACGACUGAGAUACGGCGCAGACUCGAACGGGAGGCAACGGUGGGGAGUAUUACACAGUGGGCGGGAGCCUGAUGCGACAACGCCGCGUGCGGGAAGACGGCCUUGGGGUUGUGAACCGCUGUCGCCUGUGACGAAGCGUGAGUGACGGUAAUGGGUGAAGAAGCACCGGCUAACUACGUG
rnacentral:rRNA from 1 species